UGUAAAUUCUAACUGGGGCCGUUUAAUCA
rnacentral:piRNA from 1 species